CUUCAAAUAAGGCUGUUUAUUUAUAAAGAGGCAGUGGUGGUACGAUAUGUUUUUUUUUGGUUGAUUUAUACAGUAAGUACCCAAUGUUUUGAAGUCAUUGCAUUGCAUUGGGCGCCCGAUGUUCUAGUGCUUUAACGAAAGAAAUGCAGGCAAGUUUGCCCACGCUUCAGUGCCACCGCUUCCAUCCGGCAACAGGCAACAGGCAACAGCCAGUGGGGGGUGUUGGUCGAUCUCUGUGGCCGUCCGCUGAUGCUGGUAGUUGACUGCCUCCAUCCGCGUGACGACGGAUAAGAUGACGGUGCCUAGGCAAGAUAGACGAGCUGAAACGCUGGCCCAACCCAAAAUCGUAUGGGUAG
rnacentral:lncRNA from 1 species